UGUGACUUGCACCUUCAGUGGGCUGCCUACAAAAAGGAACCAACAUGCCCUCGGUGUACAUAUCCAUUUGAGUUAAUUACAUCCAUUCCUCGCUUGAUGGAAGGAGACAACAUGUCACAGUAGAGGUGAAUGACGACCAGAAGGUCUUCCGAUCACCAGAUGAGACUGGCCAAGAUCAUGACUUGAAGAGACUCUUAGACUUGAAAUGACAUAGGAUUUAUUUUUUAGUGAAUGAGAUACAUGAAUUGAAAGUUGUUUUAUUGUUGUGGAUUUAAUGAAAUACUUUUGCUUUUUUACAUGGAUGUUUUACUUCAAAUUCUUGUAUAUAUUCAUUUAAAUUUUUUAUU